CCAAAAGAUAAUCUUUUUUUAUUUUGAAAAAGAUCUUUUCCAUUGUGCUGGCUUUGACUGUAUUGUCAUUUUAGGGCUUAAACAUGGUGUUGAAAAUGCCGGCCCUAAAAAACAUUAUACCAACCUUAUGAAAACUGACUGAACAAAAGUAAAACAAGGAUAAUUUGUUUAAAAA
rnacentral:misc_RNA from 1 species